rnacentral:lncRNA from 1 species
AUGCAGAAUGAUGAAUGGUGUGUUUUGCUGUUUUUAGGUGUUUUCUCUGAUCCUGUGAGGGUAAAAGUUGAGGGUUUUGUUGGAGUACUCAGCUAUCCAGAAGAAUUCAGUGUACACUUGAGAGACGAUGAAGGCAAGACAGUGUGUGACAUCACUGGAGGCAACAGUACAUGUAAAGAUCAAGAUCCAAAGUACAAGGACAGAGUCGAAACAUUCCCAGACGAGUAUAAGAAGGGCAACUUCUCCAUCAAACUCAACAGUCUUCAAAAUACUGAUGCAAGGGAGUACAUCUGUCACAUCACAGGACCAUCUCAUAAUCACACCAUCACAGAGCUUCAUGUCGAAGAUAAACCAGAAGGAAGAGGAAACCACAGACAGCCAUCAUUGAUUGUGUUGUUGAUCAGUUUUCUUUUAACCUGCAUUCUGCCAUUUAUCUAAACAAUAAGCAAUAUCUAACUAAUUUUUUAUUUUAUUAUUUAAUUGUGAUGUUUUUGGCUCACAUUUAACAAAAACCCACCAAUUCACAAUCUCAACAAAUCACAUCUCAACAAAUUAGAAUAUGGCGACAUGCCAAUCAGCUAAUCAACUCAAAACACCUGCAAAGGUUUCCUGAGCCUUCAAAAUACUCUCUCAGUUUGGUUCACUAGGCUACACAAUCAUGGGGAAGACUGCUGAUCUGACAUUUGUCCAGAAGACAAUCAUUGACACCCUUCACAAAGAGGAUAAGCCACAAACAUUCAAUGCUGAUCUGACAUUUGUCCAGAAGACAAUCAUUGACACCCUUCACAAAGAGGAUAAGCCACAAACAUUCAAUGCCAAAAAAGCUGUCUGUUCACAGAGUGCUGUAUCCAAGCAUGUUAACAGAAAGUUGAGUGGAAGGAAAAAGUGUGGAAGAAAAAGAUGCACAACCAACCGAGAGAACCGCAGCCUUAUGAGGACUGUCAAGCAAAAUCGAUUCAAGAAUUUGAGUGAACUUCACAAGGAAUGGACUGAGGCUGGGGUCGAGGCAUGAAGAGCCACCACACACAGACGUGUCAAGGAAUUUCCUGAACCACAGACAACGUCAGAGGCGUCUUACCUGGGCUAAGGAGAAGAAGAACUGGACUGUUGCCCAGUGGUCCAAAGUCCUCUUUUCAGAUGAGAGCAAGUUUUGAAUUUCAUUUGGAAACCAAGGUCCUAGAGUCUGGAGGAAGGGUGGAGAAGCUCAUAGCCCAAGUUGCUUGAAGUCCAGUGUUCAGUUUCCACAGUCUGUAAUGAUUUGGGGUGCAAUGUCGUCUGCUGGUGUUGGUCCAUUGUGUUUUUUGAAAACCAACGUCACUGCACCUGUUUACCAAAAAAUUUUGGAGCACUUCAUGCUUCCUUCUGUUGACCAGCUUUUUGAAGAUGCUGAUUUCAUUUUCCAGCAGGAUUUGGCACCUGCCCACACUGCCAAAAGCACCAAAAGUUGGUGACCAUGGUGUUGGUGUACUUGACUGGCCAGCAAACUCACCAGACCUGAACCCCAUAGAGAAUCUCUGGGGUAUUGUCAAGAGGAAAAUGAGAAACAAGAGCCAAAAAAUGCAGAUGAGCUGAAGGCCACUGUCAAAGAAACCUGGGCUUCCAUACCACCUCAGCAGUGCCACAAACUGAUCACCUCCAUGCCACGCCGAAUUGAGGCAGUAAUUAAAGCAAAAGGAGCCCCUACCAGGUAUUGAGUACAUGUACAGUAAAUGAACAUACUUUCCAGAAGGCCAACAAUUCACUAAAAAUGUUUUUUUUAUUUUUUUUAUUGGUCUUAUGAAGUAUUCUUAUUUGUUGAGAUAGUGAAUUGGUAGGUUUUUGUUAAAUGUGAGUCAAAAUCAUCACAAUUUUAAAGAACCAAAGACUUAAACUACUUCAGUCUGUGUGCAUUGAAUUUAUUUAAUACACGAGUUUCACAAUUUGAGUUGAAUUAUUGAAAUAAAUGAAUUUUCCUCGACAUUCUAAUUUAUUGAGAUGCACCUGUAUAUUCAACCCCUCCCCUCAAAAUACCAGGCUCCAUUCUCGUAUGUAAUGAUCACUUUUUACAACUCAAUCUAUUUCUGAUGAACAAAAAUAAAACCUUACCCUGUAUUUAUUUCCGGUUCAGUUAGAAAUACUGCAGAUAUGGAAACUAAACUGAGCUGUUACUGACAUUUUGUGUUGAUAUUACAUUGACCAUACACAUUACAUUGAUCGUGCAUCAUAUAGCGUAGCUGUGGCAUAUGUGUCCUUACCCAUGUUGUGCAGGACACGGUCUCGUUCCAGCUGCGUGUCUCUGAUCUUGCUCUGCAGCAUCAUGAGUUUCUGCUCAUACUGUUGUUUGAGCGUGUGCAGACGUCUCUGACUGUUCUCAAGCUCAUCGAUCAGCUUCUGCUUGAUGGCGAUCUCACACGUGAUGUUGGCCAGAUCUGCCUGGAAGUCCUCUAAUUACCCUGUAUUUAUUUCCGGUUCAGUUAGAAAUACUGCAGAUAUGGAAACUAAACUGAGCUGUUACUGACAUUUUGUGUUGAUAUUACAUUGACCAUACACAUUACAUUGAUCGUGCAUCAUAUAGCGUAGCUGUGGCAUAUGUGUCCUUACCCAUGUUGUGCAGGACACGGUCUCGUUCCAGCUGCGUGUCUCUGAUCUUGCUCUGCAGCAUCAUGAGUUUCUGCUCAUACUGUUGUUUGAGCGUGUGCAGACGUCUCUGACUGUUCUCAAGCUCAUCGAUCAGCUUCUGCUUGAUGGCGAUCUCACACGUGAUGUUGGCCAGAUCUGCCUGGAAGUCCUCUAAUUAAUCGAAAACAACAAAAACACUUCAAAAUUAUGUUUACAGAAAGAUAUGCAUUAAAUAGGCAUCAUAAGGGCCUGAGCACUGCAGUGUGAGGACCCUACUGGAAUUGCUCCGUUUCUUCUUUUUCUUCUUUUCCAAAAUGAAUUGCAUUUUUGAGGGCCUAAACAUACUUGAAAACUCAAGAAACCUUGCACACGCUUUAGAACUGGUGAAAAUUUACAUCUGAUAUGGGUUUCAGAAUUGAGCGUGGCAAAAUAGCUUGAUAGCGCCACCUAUAAAACUUCAAAGAAGCCCCCCUCCCACCAUGUUUCACAUAUAUGUACAAAAGUCAGAACAUUCAUGUAAUGUCCCAAUACCUACAAAAAAGUCUCUUUGAGCGAAAUCCUAAACGCAACAGGAAGUCAGACAUUUUGAAUUUCCUCUACGAAUUUUGUGCAGUUUUUGCCAUUUUCAGGCCUCUUUUUAAAUUGAAAUUUGUUUUAAAAAGUAGCACUGCAUAUUAUACGUGUGCUUUAUUGUAAAUUUAGAAAACAGCUAAACUCUUGCUCUUCAUUACUUAAGAUAAAUAUAAAAUAAACAGAUCUGACUUACUAAAAUCAUGUUUUAAUGAGAAUUUAAUGAAAAUUCUCAUCAAAUAGCUUUAGUACAAGUUGAAGUCUUUUUAAAAACAGUCGUUUUCCAAAUCAUAUUAAGGUUUAGUUAUUUUUUCACAGUAAAAAUCAGUACCCUUCUCAUCCAGGUCAGAGUCAGACUCAUCUGAGCUCUCCUCUGCAUCCAUUUCCUCUUCCUCAAUGUCCUCCUCGUCUUCCUCUCCAUCUCCCUCCUCACGGUCACUGGUCUCCUGAGGAAAACAAUCGAAAGUCAAAGACUGAAUGAUGAGCUCCAUCCUUAAAAUGUGUUCUGAUAGGGCAAGCGGCCUGUCAAGCAUACCAUCUCUGGCUCUUGAUUGGUCGAUUCUAACUGCUCUAUCUCGAUAAUCUUCUGUUCACCGUCAAGUGUUUCAUCUUUGUUGGCACUGCAGGAAAAAUCAAAACUAGACAUUCAAAUCUGUUUUGUAAGGUUUAUAUAUACACACACACACUAUGCAGCAUAGAUUAUCUGAAACAAAACAGAAAAACUGAAAAUUAGGCGGGAAGGAAAAAUAACACGGUGUUAUGACAGACACAUGAUGCAACAGAGAAGUUAAAUGGUAACAUAUUAUUAAAAACAGAAUUUGCUCUUUUGAAAACAGACAAUUCAAUACUUUCUACUUUACUCAAACCAUUUAUUAAUAAAUAUGCAUGAUAAAUAUCGGCAUGGUAUUAAUGCGCAUCUCAUCAGUAAAGCCAGUUCUGUAAUCAGCGGUAAGUCUCUACACGUGCGUGCUUUCACGUGGAGCAGCACUUACUACACAGAGCCGUUGAUCACUGACAAGCUGCACAAAACCACGAUCAUAUUUUGCGCAGCUUGUCAGUUAACAACGGCUCUGUGUAGUAAAUGCUGCUUCACGUGAAAGCACGCACGUGUAGAGAUUUACCGCUGAUUACAGAACCGGCUUUACUGACGAGAUGCGCAUUAUAUCGUGCCAAUAUUUAUCGUGCAUCCUACUUUAUUAAUAAUUAGUUUUAACUUAUCACAGACAUUAAAGCUCACCCUCACUCUGUUGUUGUUGC